UACGUAGGGACCGAGCGUUGUCCGGAUUCAUUGGGCGUAAAGAGCUCGUAGGCGGCUGCUCAAGUCGAAUGUGAAAACUCGAGGCUCAACCUCGAGCCUGCAUUCGAUACUGGGCGGCUAGAGUCUGGUAGGGGGAUCUGGAAUUCCUGGUGUAGCGGUGAAAUGCGCAGAUAUCAGGAGGAACACCGAUGGCGAAGGCAGGUCUCUGGGCCGAUAUUGACGCUGAGGAGCGAAAGCGUGGGGAGCGAACAGG
rnacentral:rRNA from 1 species